rnacentral:rRNA from 1 species
UACAGAGGUCUCAAGCGUUGUUCGGAUUCAUUGGGCGUAAAGGGUGCGUAGGUGGCGGGGUAAGUCAGGUGUGAAAUCUCGGAGCUCAACUCCGAAACUGCACUUGAUACUGCCUUGCUCGAGUACUGGAGAGGAGAUUGGAAUUUACGGUGUAGCAGUGAAAUGCGUAGAUAUCGUAAGGAAGACCAGUGGCGAAGGCGACUACCUGGCCUGUUCUUGACGCUGAGGCGCGAAAGCUAGGGGAGCAAACGGG